CGGAGGCUUUACUGCUCCCCUGGCUUCGGAGGAAGUCAAGAACAAGCACAAACACUUAGAGAGGAGGACUUGAACUCAGAGCGGCCUAAGAGUCAGGACAACACAGACAGGAAAAAGACGUGCAAUCAGGAGGUGUGUUCAUCAGUUCUAUCCGGGACAAGCAGUUGUUUGGAGUGGCUUAGAGACACGGGAGUGGUGGAAAUAGACACCGAAUGCCUCCUCUUCCAUGUCAGUCCAAGGAAGAGAACAUGUUUGGCUGAGGAAAUCUGGCCUUCUUUACAGGGGCAUGACGCUGGCCUGUCAGUACCAUCAGAGAGUUCUGGAGUCAGAUAACUGUUCUCACGAAAUUGACCUGUCAUUUCUUGAACUGACGUAGUUCAGCAGAGGAGAGAUGACUCUAUGAAGAGCAGCACCUAGCCUAGGGCAGUUAAAGUGAGGGUUGACUGUCU
rnacentral:lncRNA from 1 species